rnacentral:rRNA from 1 species
CCUUUCCCAUGCACAGCUUUGGUUAUGAUUACCUGCCAGGGAUCGGGAUGAGCAUGUUCAUAUUUGCAAUAUUAAUCAUAGCGCUGAUCGGCUUGUCAGCCGUCCGAAUUAAGGGCUAUAAUUUCUCUUUUACGCAGACAAACGAAUAAAUGGAGGGCAAAAUGGAAUAUGCAAUCAGGUUGAAGGGACUGACAAAAUCCUUUCAAAAAGAAAAAGUAUUAAAGAACAUUACCCAUGAUUUUGAAAAAGGGAAGAUUCAUGGGAUUAUGGGGUUUAACGGUUCAGGGAAAACCGUAAUGUUUAAAUGCAUCUGUGGAUUUUUACAACCUGAGAGCGGCACAGUGCUCGUAGGGGGAAAACAGAUCGGGAAGGAGCUGGACUUUCCAGAUUCCGUAGGCAUUAUCAUUGAAAACCCUGGCUUCUUUCUGGAUCUCAGCGGUUUUGCGAAUUUAAAGAGACUGGCGUCUCUGAAACACCGUAUUUCCGAUGACGAUGUGAGGGCGACGAUGCGUGCCCUAGGGCUUGAUCCUCUGUCUAAAAAGAAGGUAGGACAGUAUUCUCUUGGAAUGCGUGAACGUCUUGGUAUCGCACAGGCAAUCAUGGAAGAUCCGGAGCUUUUGAUAUUGGACGAGCCUUUUAAUGGUCUGGACAAGCAGGGGGCAGGAGAGGUCUGCGAGCUUUUGCGGGGAUUAAAGGAACGAGGGAAGACUAUUCUUAUCGCAGCACAUAACAUGCUGGAGAUCGAAUGGCUCUGCGAUACGAUCUGUGAGAUGGAUGCAGGUGUCCUGACGCAGAUAAAAUAAAAAUACGGGGGAAAGAAUAUGGGAAAUAGCUCGUACUCCCCGAAAUGCAUUUAGGUGCAGCCUCUGUUGUUUUGUUCUAGAGGUAGAGCUACUGAUUGGAUGCGAGGGCUUCACCGCCUAUCAAAUCCGGCCAAACUCCGAAUGCUAGAACAUGAAGACAGGGAGUGAGCCAGCGGGUGCUAAGGUCCGUUGACGAAAGAGGGAGAACUCAGACCAUCAGCUAAGGUCCCCAAUUGUAUGCUAAGUUGGAAUUAAAACGGGGUGGGACUGCUUAGACAGCUAGGAUGUUGGCUUGGAAGCAGCCAUUCAUUUAAAGAGUGCGUAACAGCUCACUAGUCGAGCGGUCCUGCAUGGAUAAUACGCGGGCAUAAGCAUAUAACCGAAGCUAUGGGAUUGUAGAUGAUACAAUCGGUAGGAGAGCAUUCCAUUCAGCAUAGAAGCAGUACCGUGAGGUAUUGUGGAGCGGAUGGAAAAGCAAAUGUAGGCAUAAGUAACGAUAAUGCGGGUGAGAACCCCGCACGCCGAAAGAUCAAGGAUUCCCCGGCAAUGUCAAUCAUCCGGGGGUAAGUCGGAUCCUAAGGGUAAGCCGAGUGGCGAUCCCGAUGGCAAACAGGUUAAUAUUCCUGUACUGAUCAUAACUGCGAUGCAGCGACGCAGAGGUGACACUGCUGCGUACUGACGGAAUAGUACGUUGAAACCCGUAUUCUUUGAUACCGGUAGUGAAGCACGCCGGUAGAGAUGAAAGGUGAUAGUACCGCAAUGCUUCGGUUGCGCGGAUAACGCAGGUAAGCUGACUGCCAAGAAAACCUGCUAAGCUUCAGGUAAUGAUCAUCCGUACUGUAAACGGACACACGUGAUCAGGUAGAAAAUACUAAGGCGCUCGAGAGAUUCAUGGUUAAGGAACUAGGCAAAAUGGUCCUGUAACUUCGGGAUAAAGGACGCUCUUGUGAAAGAGCCGCAGAUAAUAGGCCCAGGCGACUGUUUACCAAAAACACAUGGCUAUGCUAAUUCGCAAGAAGAUGUAUAUGGCCUGACACCUGCCCGGUGCCGGAAGGUUAAGAGGAGAGCUCAGAGGUAACUCGAAGGUUUGAAUUGAAGCCCCGGUAAACGGCGGCCGUAACUAUAACGGUCCUAAGGUAGCGAAAUUCCUUGUCGGGUAAGUUC